AAUAGACCCAAACUUAUAUGUAGCCGAUUGAAAUAAUAUUAAAAGAUACACGGGACAAAAUGCCACCGAAAGCAACCAAGUCUGGACAACAAUCGAAGUCACCGACUCAAGUUGAAGGAGAUAGCCGAGAGCAGACUAGCAAACAUGGCGAUGAGGUACAGAGCGCGGCUACAAACGAAGUCAUUUUAAGUGCAAUUAACUCUUUGAGGGCGGACCUUUCUAAGCAAUCUACCGAAAUGCUAGAUGCUAUAAAAAGCAUACAAUCCGAUUUGGUGGCUCAGUCGAAAAGAAUUGGGGAAACUGAGGAGAGAAUUUCGCAAACCGAGGAAGACGUCACAGCUCUUCAGCAUAAAGUUAAACAACUGGAAGGAGUAACUUCAUUUUUGCGCAAUAAAGUUCAGGAUCUGGAAGAUCGCGGAAGGCGCUCCAACUUGCGACUGGUGGGCCUACCUGAAAAGGCAGAAGGCUCGGACACAUGCGCUUUCCUUGAAAAUUGGCUUCCAAACCUUUUAACCGGCACUUUCGACUGUGCGCCGGUUAUUGAACGAGCUCACCGGAUCGGACAAAUUAAUCCUAACCGCCCAACAGCUUCGAGACCGAUUGUAAUGAAAUUUCUGAAUUACAAAGAUAAAGAAAAAUCUUUGAGAGCAGCUAGAAGGCUUAAAGAGCUACGGUAUGAAGGACAACGAGUCAGCCUGUUCCCGGACCUGUCAACUGAGACACGACAGCGACAGCGACAGUUCGACAGUGUGAAAGCCCAGCUCAGAGACAAGGGAAUCCCCUACGGCAUGAUAUAUCCGGCCAACCUGAUAGUCACACACGCCGAUCGGCGCCACAUUUUUAAAUCCGUCUCUGAGGUAGAGGACUUUAUUCGGUCAGUGCAAGCUACAGGUUGAACGCUGUGAUGCAGGAAUCGGAUGACGAACUUGAACCCUAACGGUGAUUCAUUUAGGCGAAGACUUCUAAAGCUAUACAGAUCCACUUUGGGAACUGGAAACCCUUAAAGCUCACCUUCACCUGGAAAUGAGAGAAUGGGUAUAUGGUCUCGGUGACUUGACAGAGGAUGCUACCUAUGGGCUCAACAGUCUCAUCAAACGGGGGUCACUCAGAAGUCAACACAGACAGACUGUAAAUGCAAACAGCAGUAUAGGCGCUUUCGAUUACAUUGAGCACAGGACUGGUGCACUUAAGAUGUGUCCUAAAUAAACCUGCCUUGCUUUUAUAUUAAACAGCCCUUUUUAUGAAGUGAUUUACAGUUUAAGGGAAUUGUCAUCAGAAACCCAACUGUUAGAAAAUAGUGCACUUAGAUUUUUACAUUUCAAACCAAAGCUACUAAGUGUUUUCACCCAUAGCUUAGAGAUAAUAAAGAGCCACAUAUCUUCAGGAAAGUAUUGACAAUAUAAAUAAUGGCACUUUGCUAAAAUGUUCAGAUUAUGUAUUGUUAUUAGAAACAAGGACAAAAUACUAACUAUGUGUGAAGGUCUUAUCCUUUCCAGCACUUUUAUACAAUGUCAAUUAUAUCAUAAAAGUUUUUAAGAUAUAUUUACCUGCCUUCAUUCUUAAAUUCAAAACUCAAAAAUGAAACAAGAUAUCAGCCUGACUGGCAUCACCAAGUAGCAGAUUAAUAAUGUUAAAAGUAAUUUUGAAUGUUAUUACAAUGCAUUACCGGUAUUUUGCUUUAAAUAAAUCAUUGUUAUUUUUUGCAUGUAAAAAAUCUGAUGAAGUACAUUAAUUACAAUGUACUUUACUUCAAUAUUUCCAUAUUAUACUUUGUGUAUGUAUGUAAGCUAUGUAUGCAAUAUGUAUAUACUGUUUGUAGUUUCAGCAUACUUGUUAAUGAACACCAUCAAAUCGAUAUUAAACCAUACAUGUUUUUCUGUUAUGCUUUCCAUAUCGCAUCAUCUAAAUGUACAUCAAUAUAGUCAUAAAUCAUAUCCACUGACAUUCUGUAAAACUGUAUGGAGAAAUAUCUUUCUUUGUCUUGAUGCAU